UCUUGCAAAAUGAAGCUACGUCUGAAUAUGGAUGGGCUUGCCACUGGACAGGAUUUAGCCUUACUUAUAGCCAAUUACAUGGAUUGAGCGUUCCCAAAUCUGUCCCUUUACAAACAAUAUCUCACAAUUUCUGUGAGUGGCGCACAGGCAGAACACCAGUCGCCUUAAACUAUUAAACAUGUUUUCAUGCCAACAUGGGCGAGAAUCGCAUGGCAACAUGCGCUACAGUUGACCGAAGAAGAGCUGCAAACAUUGAUAUGGAUAAGGUGAUCAACAAGUUUGUCGGAAUGAAAUGUCAACGUUUUGAUGUCUCAGAGUUACAGGCCUAUAGCAUGGGCCUCCACGGUGGUCGUGUGGUUUAGCUCCUGCUCUUCUAGAAGCCCCUUCGCCUGGUCUUUCUGCAUUUGCAUCUGAUCGCACUCCUGCUGCAACUGCUGGAUACAUGCCUGCAGCUUAGGCAGCUCAAGAUCCUUCUCGUUCAGGUCUUCAAGGCACCUGGGAAAAAACAUCAGAAGCUGCUGUGCCUGGUCUUUCUGCAUCUGCAUCUGAUCGCACU
ensembl:lncRNA